ensembl:lncRNA
GUCUAAACCAGGACUGAACCAGGACUAAACCAGGUCUAAACCAGGACUAAACCAGGACUAAACCAGGACUAAACCAGGUCUAAACCAGGUCUAAACCAGGUCUAAACCAGGUCUAAACCAGGUCUAAACCAGGACUGAACCAGGACUGAACCAGGACUGAACCAGGACUGAACCAGGACUAAACCAGGACUAAACCAGGACUAAACCAGGUCUAAACCAGGACUAAACCAGGUCUAAACCAGGACUGAACCAGGACUGAACCAGGACUGAACCAGGACUGAACCAGGUCUAAACCAGGACUGAACCAGGACUGAACCAGGUCUAAACCAGGUCUAAACCAGGACUAAACCAGGACUAAACCAGGUCUAAACCAGGUCUAAACCAGGUCUAAACCAGGACAAAACCAGGACUAAACCAGGACUAAACUAGGUCUAAACCAGGACUGAACCAGGACUGAACCAGGACUGAACCAGGACUGAACCAGGACUGAACCAGGACUGAACCAGGUCUAAACCAGGACUGAACCAGGACUGAACCAGGUCUAAACCAGGUCUAAACCAGGACUAAACCAGGACUAAACCAGGUCUAAACCAGGUCUAAACCAGGUCUAAACCAGGACAAAACCAGGACUAAACCAGGACUAAACUAGGUCUAAACCAGGACUAAACCAGGACUGAACCAGGACUAAACCAGGGCUAAACCAGGGCUGAACCAGGACUGAACCAGGACUGAACCAGGACUGAACCAGGACUGAA